ACGAACGCUGGCGGCGUGCUUAACACAUGCAAGUCGAACGGAAAGGCCCUGCUUUUGUGGGGUGCUCGAGUGGCGAACGGGUGAGUAACACGUGAGUAGCCUGCCCUUGACUUUGGGAUAACUUCAGGAAACUGGGGCUAAUACCGGAUAGGAGCUCCUGCUGCAUGGUGGGGGUUGGAAAGUUUCGGCGGUUGGGGAUGGACUCGCGGCUUAUCAGCUUGUUGGUGGGGUAGUGGCUUACCAAGGCUUUGACGGGUAGCCGGCCCGAGAGGGUGACCGGCCACAUUGGGACUGAGAUACGGCCCAGACUCCUACGGGAGGCAGCAGUGGGGAAUAUUGCACAAUGGGCGGAAGCCUGAUGCAGCAACGCCGCGUGCGGGAUGACGGCCUUCGGGUUGUAAACCGCUUUCGCCUGUGACGAAGCGUGAGUGACGGUAAUGGGUAAAGAAGCACCGGCUAACUACGUG
rnacentral:rRNA from 1 species